AUUGAACGCUGGCGGCAGGCCUAACACAUGCAAGUCGAACGAGUGGCGGACGGGUGAGUAAUGUCUGGGAAACUGCCUGAUGGAGGGGGAUAACUACUGGAAACGGUAGCUAAUACCGCAUACCAUCAGAUGUGCCCAGAUGGGAUUAGCUUGUUGGUGGGUUAACGGCUCACCAAGGCGACGAUCCCUAGCUGGUCUGAGAGGAUGACGAGCCACACGGGAACGGGGUCACGGUCCGGACUCCUACGGGCGUCAGCCGUGGGGAAUAUUGCACACUGGGCGCAAGCCGGCUGCAGCCAUGCCGCGUGUAUGAAUAAGGCCUUCGGGUUGUAAAGUACUUUCAUCGUGGAGGCGUUACCCGCAGAAGAAGCACCGGCUAACUCCGUGCCAGCAGCCGCGGUAAUAC
rnacentral:rRNA from 1 species